rnacentral:rRNA from 1 species
UACGUAGGGUCCGAGCGUUGUCCGGAAUCAUUGGGCGUAAAGAGCGCGUAGGCGGUCCGAUAAGUCGGCUGUGAAAGUCAGGGGCUCAACCCUUGAAAGCCGGCCGAUACUGUCGGACUAGAGUUCGGAAGAGGCGAGUGGAAUUCCCGGUGUAGCGGUGAAAUGCGCAGAUAUCGGGAGGAACACCAAUGGCGAAGGCAGCUCGCUGGGACGUGACUGACGCUGAGGCGCGAAAGCCAGGGGAGCGAACGGG